rnacentral:rRNA from 1 species
AUGUGGGAGGCAGUCCAGGACAGCAACGUCGACCACCUAGAGGAUCGACGGGCACUGGACGCCCUCAUCGCCGCAGUCCCGCCCGAGAUGCAGUUCUCGCUUUCCAACAAGCGGACUGCCAAGGAGGCUUGGGACGCCAUCGCCGCAGCACGCAUCGGCAGCGACCGUGCUCGCAAGUCCACCCUGCAGGCACUUCGUAAGGAGUGGGAGAACCUGGGCUUCAAGCCAGGUGAGGACGUUGAUGACUUUGCUCUCCGUCUCAACACUCUGCUGCAGAAGAUGGUGAAGUUUGGCGAUGCCACCUACACCGAGGAGAGAGCUGUCGAGAAGCUUUUUCGGUGCAUUCCCGAGAAGUACAAGCAGAUGGCUCGCUCGAUCGAGUCGUUGCUGGACCUCUCCACGAUGACGAUCGAGGAGGCGAUAGGUCGACUCAAGGUCGUCGACACCGACGAGCCACAGCCCCCCUCGGGGCCCGUCACCACCGGCGGGAAGCUGCUCCUAACUCGGGAGCAGUGGGAUCCCAGCCUUGGUGACAAGAAGAAGGGGGAGCCUUCCUCCUCGACGGGCGGCCGCAAGCGUGGCAAGCAGCGUAAGGCGCGAAGAGGCCCCCCGGGCAGGGGACAAGGACGUGCCGAAGGUGACGCCCGCGGAGGCGCCAAGGACGGCGCCGCUGGCAAGCCCAGGCCGGCACAAGACAACAGUUGCCACAACUGUGACCGGUUUGGCCAUUGGGCCAAUGAGUGUCGGCAACCACGACAAGGCUAG